rnacentral:lncRNA from 1 species
UCUGCAUGCGUUUUGAUAGCUGUAAUGUAACAUAAACAUACAAAAAGAUUAUUUGCCUUCACAUUGUACAUUUAUCAACGGAGAACUGAUAACUCCACUACAAAUUACACUUCUAUAUAAUUUCCAAGCAGGCUUCAAUGAUAACAGUUUCUUGAAGUACUUUGAAUUGCCAAACCUUUCCACAUGCGGCUGCUAAUAAUCUCUAUAGUAGAUUAGAAAGAGAAAAUACCGUGUCAAAACCUGGAUGGUGAUCAUCCUGUCCCUGACACACGUCCAUUCAGAGCUGAAUGUCGGGCUAGAACCAAUGAGCUGCAGCAGCGGCACCAUUCACCAAAAAACUGCAUAGCGUCCCACUAAACAAGAGCAUCUGACAUAGAAAAAAACUUCAUCAACUUUGCAUCUGACAUCAAAGGACUUCUGUUUAAUAGCAGCUAUACACAGAAUUAGCAAAAUAAAAUAGCUACUUGAGAAGAACAAAAAGCUUAGAUUAGUUUGUACAAAAAAGGCCUUAGUGAUUGUCUCCAAGUACAGAGCGUAGUUUACAGUAUGGAGCAUCCACAUGAGAAGAAAAACCAAACAACUCCAGCGACCUGAACUGAGAUGAUAUAUGCAUCACUCUUCUCUUCCAAACGCCC